UACGUAGGGUGCAAGCGUUGUCCGGAAUUAUUGGGCGUAAAGAGCUCGUAGGCGGCCUGUCGCGUCGGCUGUGAAAACCCGAGGCUCAACCUCGGGCCUGCAGUGGGUACGGGCAGACUAGAGUGCGGUAGGGGAGAUUGGAAUUCCUGGUGUAGCGGUGGAAUGCGCAGAUAUCAGGAGGAACACCAAUGGCGAAGGCAGAUCUCUGGGCCGUAACUGACGCUGAGGAGCGAAAGCAUGGGGAGCGAACAGG
rnacentral:rRNA from 1 species